rfam:Perkinsus marinus ATCC 50983 gcontig_1104296571570, whole genome shotgun sequence.
GCUCUGGUGGCUCAAUCGGAUAGAGCGUUGGACUUCUAAUCCAAAGGUUGCGGGUUCAAGUCCCGCCCAGAGUA